CCGCGACGCUGGUAACAGCGGCGGCAGGGCAAACCCCACACGGAGCAAGGUCAAAUAGAAAAGCGCUUCCCGCAAGGGAUGAAGGGCGGCCCGUCCGAUGCUUUUGGGUAGACUGCUGGACCCCGGGAGUGAUUCCGGGGCAAGAUGAAUGAUUGCCGUUCCCGGGCUCAUACCCCGGGGAAACAGAAUUCGGCUUAUGGACGACUCCGGUGC
rnacentral:RNase_P_RNA from 1 species